AGUUAGCGCUGCGGCUCACUAGGCUAAUCCUCCGCCUGUGGCGCCGGCACCCCAGGUUCUAGUCCCGGUGGGGGAGCCGGAUUCUGUCCCAGUUGCUCCUCUUCCAGUCCAGCUCUCUGCUGUGGCCUGGGAGUGCAGUGGAGGAUGGCCCAAGUGCUUGGGCCCUGCACCCCAUGGGAGACCAGGAGAACCACCUGGCUCUGGGCUUCGGAUCAGCGCGGUGCGCCGGCCGCAGUGCGCUGGCCGCAGCGACCAUUGGAGGGUGAACCAACGGCAAAGGAAGACCUUUCUCUCUGUCUCUCUCUCUCUCACUGUCCACUCUGCCUGUCAAAAAAAAAAAAAAAAAAAAAAAAAAGUUAGCAAGGCAUUUGUUCUCGUAGUCGGGGUUUGAAUGAACUCUGUUGAGUGGUAGAACUUCUCCAAGCCUCAGUUUCCCCACUUGUGAAGUUCCUUGUUGGUUGUUCUGAGGGCUGGCAGACUUCCACAUGGAGACUGCUCACAGUGCUUCUUGGCAUGGUGAGUGAUCAGGACCAAGUCCUUGCCUGCAGGGAGCUUCAGUCCCAGCUCCCUUGCUGCAUUUUGCUCUCCCUUCUCCCCCACGCCAAGCUAGGAUGCCCGAAGCAACCUUGCAAUAUCUGAAGGUAUUUGCUAAAACACAGGAAAAUGUUACUUCGCUGAUGAGGAAAAACAGGUCAGUGUAUUAAGGAAAUCCUCUUAAAAAUGCACAAAUCAACCAUUCAACAAGCGAUAAUAUGAAAAUUUCGAAGCCAAUGCAUACCAGGGGAAUCUUUAAAUAAUUCAUGAAAAAUUUUGCAUCAUGCAAAAACUGUGCAUGGAGUCCACAUUUUUUGCACCAAAAUAAACUUACCUUUUAGCUCCAUUUUUCUUUCAGCUAAUACCUGGUAUGUAUUAGGUACUGAAUAGAGGCUACUGAUAUCAGAGUUAACAAACAAGAUGUACUUUCCCACUCACUGGUAGGAAAGAUAAAGUUGUUUGGCAUAAUGUAAACUUUUUGUAGAUGUAUAAGAUGCAUAUAGACAGCACAUCAAUAAUACUUGUACACCUCAGUUAAUAUUCCGAAAACACAGACAUAUAAUUAGUUCCCAAGUCAACAGGCAAAAUCUUACCAGCCCUGAGAUGUCUCUGUUUGCCUGCUUCCACUCAUGUCCACUCUCAAAAGGUAGAUACUAUUCUGGCUUCUACAACCAUUGAUUACUUUUGCAUGCCUAUAAACUUUAUAAAAAAGGACUCAUCACAUAUACUCUUGUUUUAUUCAGCAUUAUGCUUGUGGAACUCAUCCUUUUUUGUGUAUAUUGUAGUUUAUUCCCAUUGCUGUAUAUUAUUCACUGUCUAAUAUGCCGUUUUCUGAUCUACAUUAUAAUGGUGAUGGAUGUUUGGAUUGUUUUCAGCUUGGGAAUAUUACAACCAAUGCUGCAGUGACAUUCUUGUACGUAUUGUCAGUUAGGUAUAUGCAUGCAUUUUGGAUGGGUGUGUACAUAUUUAGGAGUAGAAUUGCUGAGUGUCAGGUAUGGGUGUGUUCAGUUUUCGUGGAUACUGUUAGAUAGCUUUCCAAAGCAGUUGUAGCCAUUUACUCUGUGGUCAGCAGAGUAUGAGAGUUCUGGUUGUGCUCCAUUGUCAUUUUGGAAGGUGUGCUGUGGUGUCUGCAUUAUGCUUUUCAACUUGCAUUUUCCCCAUUGACUAAUGAAGUUGAAUGGUUUCUCAUACGUUAUUUUCUGUUUGGAUAUUGUCUCUUACUGUUCUGACAGCUGUCUGUUUUUUUAUUGGGUUCUUUUCUUUUCCCUAUUGAUUUAAAGGAGUGCUUUACAUUUGCAAGAUAUAUGUGUUGAAAAACUCUUCUCCCAGUCCAUGGUUUCCCUUCUCACUCUCUCAGAGGUUUUGAAGAACUGAAGUUCUCAAUUUUGAUGUAAUUCGAUUGAUCAGUCUUUUCCUCCUUAAUGAUCAUUCCUUUUCUGUGUAUUUGGAAGCCUUUGUUUGAGGCAGUCCUUGGGGAAGCAGCUAAUGCCCAGCUGGGAAUUUGUUAGGCACCUGUGCUGCCAAAAGUAGCAAACAACACAGUCAGGAAAGAUGACCCCAAGGAACCAUAAGGCAAGAUGUCUGCUUUCGCCUUCUCUGUGAAGAGGUGCUGAGAGGGACAUAGGAAGAAAUUUCCAGAAGCCCCUAUAAACUGAAAUUUCAUUAAGGAGUACUCGGAGAUAUGGGAAACAUUGUAUGGGUCAGAGAAAUACAAAUGUAAUAAAAUAGCAUGUUACACUAUGAGCAGGAAAUGAGAACUAGAAACCAGCUGAGGGAGGUGAGAAGAGAGAUGCUAACACCCCAAAUGUCCUCAUGUCCCACUCAGCUGGGAUACUUCUACUUCAACCUUGGUCCAAGGUCAAAUCCACACACUCAGGUAUUUCCACUAGACAUAUGGCCAAAAAGUAAAAAUAAAUAAAAAUAAAUAAAUAAAUAAAAAACCAAAAACCAAACUGGAUGACGUGUUAUGUAUGAGAAUUUCUAAGGUGCCCGUAUAAAUGUUUCCUCCUAACCCUCAGAACCUGUAAAUACGAUGUGACAUCACUCACUGGUGUGUCACACGUGUGACUGUAUUCUUUUUCAAGGCAGAGUUUAUUUAAACAUAGGCAACUGUCUGGGUGGCCCUGAUUUAAUCACAAAGCUUUUUAAGAAAGACCACUCAAUUAAUUUUACUUAUUUGAAAUGCAGACAGAAAAAGACAUAGAGAGAGAGAGAGAGAGAGAGAGUUUUCCCAUUCACUGGUUCACUUCCCAAAUACCUGCACCAAUCAGGGCCGAGCAGGAUGUCAGGAACUCAGUCCGAAUCUUCCGUGUGGGUGACAAGGACCUAACUGCUUGACAUCACCUGCUGCCUCCCAAUAAGCACGUUAGGAGGAAACUGGAACCUGGAGUGCAGCUGUUAUUUGAAUCCAGUCACUCUGAUACGGGACGGGACGCAGGCAUCUCGAGCAGCGCCUUAAUCACUACACCAAAUGCCCACUAUAAUGGGACCAUUUAAGCUGAUGGUAGAAAUCAGAGCUAUUUGAAGAAUGAAGAGGAUCUGACUUGAAGAGGAAGGCUUUAUGAGAAGGAUUUCAGGCAAAUUAAGGAACUGAGAAAGGCAGGCAGCUGACGGCCAUCAAGGAGCUGGGGUCCUCCGUCUCACAAGCACCAGGAACUGAAUUCUGCCAACAACUUGAGUGAACUGAGAGGUGGUUUCUGUUCAGAGCCUGCAUAUGAGGACUCAGUUUAACUAACAACUUGACUUCUGCCUGUAACACCUUGAAAGCCAACCAAGUGACACUGUGUUGACCUCUGAUUUACAGGUCUCCUCUCUUCUUCUCAGCUAAUGACCUCAUCACAAUAAGAAAGAGAAAACCCUUCAAUUCCACUUGUGGAUAUCUAUCCAAAUGGAAUGAAUGCCAUGUGUCAACAAGACACCUGCACUCCCAUCUCCAUUGCAGCAUUAUUCCAAACAGCCAAGACCUGGAGUCUACCUAAGUGUCCAUCAAUGGUUGGACAUAUAAACACAAUUAAAUACUCCUCAGCCUUGAAAAAUAAGAAAAUUCUGUCAUUUGGAACAACAUGAACGAGUCUGGGAGAAUUACAUUAAGUGAAAUAAGCCAUGUAUAUAACACAAAUGCCACAUGAUCUCACUGAUAAGUGGAGUGGAAAAAAAGUGGAACUCACAGAAGUAAACAGUAGAAUGAUGGUUAUCAUGGAUGUUAUCAUGGAUAUGGUGGGGGUUGGGGAGAUGUUGAUGAGAAGUUGCAAAAUCUCAGUGAGGAGAGGUUCUCAAACUCAAUGCCAUGUUGUAUCCUGCCUCAGGGCUUUUUGCUCUUGCCAGUCACGGACCAGACUUCUCCACUUCUGGCUCUUUAUGUCGCUGAACUAUUUUUCUCCAUCAGAGGUAGUUCAGUUGUCAUCUUCCCAGACAGGGCUUCGCUGCACAUUGUAUCUAAAAUGAGCACCUGCUCCUCUCAACCCCACCAUCCAUUACUCUGCCUGCUUUCUUCGUGGCAGCAAUCACAAUCUGUAACUGUGUUAUUAUUAAUCUGUUUUCUUAAUUGUUGUCUCGUCCUCUGACUCCUCAAUUACAAUGUAAGCUGUGUAACAGCAGGGGAGCCGAGUAUUUUUGUUUUAUUUUAUUUGAGAGGGAGAGAGUUUCCCUCUGUUGAUUCACUCCCCAGAUAUCCACAAUGGCUAGGUCUGGGCUGAAGCCAGGGCGGGAACACAAUCCAGGUCUCAAGUAGGCAGCAGGAACCCGGUCACUUGGGCCAUCCCUGCUGCCUCCCAGGGUCUGCAUUAGCAAGAAGCUGGAGGCAGGAGAUGGAACCUGGUAUUGAACUCAAUUACUCCAAUGUGGGAUGCAGGUGUUUUUUGUUUUUAAUAGUAUAUUUAUUUAUUUGAGAGGUAGAGUUACAGACAGUGAGAGGGAGAGACAGAGAGAAAGGUCUUCCUCUGUUGGUCACUCCCCAAAUGGCCUCAAGGGCCAGAGCUGCGCCGAUCCGAAGCCAGGAGCCAGGAGCUUCUUCCAGGUCUCCCAUGUGGGUGCAGGGGCCUAAGGACUUGGGCCAUCCUCCACUCUCUUCCCAGGCCACAGCAGAGAGCUGGAUUGGAAGAGGGGCAACCGGGACUAGAACCCAUGCCCAUACGGGAUGCCAGCACCACAGGCGGAGGAUUAACCUAUUGCACCACGGCGCCAGCCCUGGGAUGCAGGUGUUUUAAUCUCUCACUAAAUUCCUGCUUAUUUUACCCCCCCCCCCAUCUCCAGAGCCUGGUUAAGUAACUGUCACUUAAAGUAAGUUACACAUAGCUUCCUGGGUGAAAGCAUGACACAGAACAAAGUGGAUCAAAUAAAUUCUCUCUUCUUGGACCAAGUCCUCAAGAUUCUCAGUUGUUUCACUGAAAUAUAGCAAAGAGCAGAGUUGACUUCUGGCAGUUGCCCUGGCUCUGCCUGGAUGGUUUAGCCUUACAGUCUUUGCUUCCUGACAUAUUUAUAUAGUAUUUAUUUGUUUUAAAAUAAGAUUUAUUUUUUUGAAAGGCAGAAUGACAGAGAGAGAGGAAGAGAGAGAGGAAGAUCUUCUGCUUGCUGGUUCACUUCACAAAUGGCUGCAAUGGCCAGGGUUGGGCCAGACUAAAGGCAUGAGUCUGAAACUCCAGCCUGGUCUCCCACAUGGUGGCAGGCACCCGAAUGCUUGAGCCCUAUUCUGCUGCUUUCCCAAGUACAUUAGUAGGGACUGGAAGCAAAGUAGCCAAGACUCAAAGGGACAAUCUGACAUGGCACGCCCUGCAAGCAAUGGCUUGACCUGUUGUUCAACAAUGCCAGAUCCAGUAUAUGAAGGAGUUUCGUGGUAAUCUUCUUAGUUUAGUGUGUAUGUCUGUGUGUUUCUUGAAGGUGAUAAUACAUCUUCAUUCAAUGAUAGGUGCCCAGCAGGGUAAUUGGCGUAGCUGUAAUUUCAACUCAAUGGGAUAUAGGGAGCAAUGAGUCCACAGUCAGAGGCAAAUGCACUAAUUUUGUAUAAUCAGAUCUUAUUGAGCAAUUUCAGACUAUAUCACUUACAAAGUUAAGAUUCAGGGGCAAGGCCGGCGCUGCAUCUCACUAGGCUAAUCCUCUGCCUGCGGCACCGGCACCCUGGGUUCUAGUCCCAGUCGCAGCGCUGGAUUCUGUCCCGGUUGCUCCUCUUCCAGUCCAGCUCUCUGCUGUAGCCCGAGAAGGCAGUGGAGGAUGGCCCAAGUACUUGGGCCCUGCACCCGCAUGGGAGACCAGGAGAAGCACCUGGCUCCUGGCUUUGGAUCAGCAUGGUGCACUGGCCGCAGUGGCCAUUGGGGGGUGAACCAAUGGUAAAGGAAGACCUUUCUCUCUCUCUCUCUCUCUCACUGUCCACUCUGCCUGUCAAAAAACAAACAAACAAACAAAAAAAAGAUUCAGGGGCUGGCAUUGUGGCACAAUGGGUUAAGCUGCUGCCUGUGAUGCUAGCAUCCCAUGUGAGUGCUAGUUUGAGUCUCAGCUGCUCUGCUCCCAAUCUAGCUCUCUGCUAAUGGGGCUAGGAAAGCAGCAGAAGACGGCUCAUAGGUUCUUAUGCACCUGCAUCCCUGCGGGAGACAUGGAUGGACUUCCAGGCUCUUGGCUUCAGUUUGGCCUAGGCUGGGUCAUUGUGACCAUUUGGGUAGUGAACCAGCAGAUGGAAGAUCUCCCUCUAUCUCUUUCCCUCUCUGUAACUCUGUCUUUUAAAUAAAUAGAUAAAUCUUUUUUUAAAAAAGCCAAAUUUCAAACAUGUGAUUUAAUUUCCUAGUCCCUUCUGCAUAUACAGAUAGGUAACCUGGAAAGAAAGGACCAGAAGAGAUUGACUUUCCUGUGGUAUCAGUGUGGCAGCUUCACCCCAGAUUCCAGGUCAUCUCAACAGGAAAUUUGGCAAUUCAUUGGUUCAGACGUAGAUCAAUGAUGCUGGGAACAUGUGGGGACAGGGGGAGGGAAAAGAGGCCCUAACUUUUAUAUAUUUUAUCUUUUUUCUAAAAUGCUGAUCAAUUAUCUGUUGCUAAACUAUAUUUAUCUAUGGAAAAAUAAAUAGAAAUUGAUCCUGAAUCCAACUUUGCUAUGCAUGAGUCUUUUGACAAACAUAAUAAAACAAUUUAUUUAUAAUUAAAGAGGUAGAUAAAAAUUGAAAAAUAGAACCCUACUAACCAACUUUCCUUGGGGAGUAUUUCUUCCUAUAUAAAUUUGCUUUGUUAUAGUUGUCUGCUUGGAGGAAGACGUUUUCAGCUUCCUGUCUCUACUAUAGAAAAGGAUGUUCCACAGCCUCUGACCUUCCCCAGGACAUAACUCCACCCAGAUCUCCAAGGAAAGGCCUUUGUCUGAGGUCCCAGGCCUUCCCCUCUACGAUUUCCCUCUUGACCUUGAGACGACUCCUUCCUUUCCCUCCGGCCCUCUGCCCGCUCUUGCUUCCUUCCCCAGUGUCUCCUCCCCAGGCAGAUUCUGUGUCCUGAAGCAUCACUGACUGACCAUACUCACUGCGUCACUUCUAGAGAGUUUACAUUUAUCAGAGGAUAAAUCCCCUUUGUGGUUAGAGUCAAACAAAAUUUGGCGUGGAAUUUUGUCCACCAGUCCUUGCAUGGACCAGUGCUUCCCCAGUUGUGAGGGAAGUCUUUUGGAAAAUGGGGCACACAGGGAGUCUGUUGGCUUUGGAGCAAGCAGCCCUGAUCUUCAAUGCUACCAGUUACCCUCUCUGUGAGUCUGUGUGGGACACUGAAUUUCACCGAACUCAGCUCAACUGGGAAUUAUAAGGUCUCUUCCAUGGGGUUGCAGAAAGCAUUAGGUCAGAUGAAAAAUGAGGACCUUCUAGCACACAGAUUUGGUAUACAUAUGAGUCUCUCUCCCUGGCUUUUUUUUUCAUGCCAUGAGAUAUGGAUUCAUGGAAUUUCUUAGAACCCAUGCCAAGCCUUCCCUGAAUAGUAAUGCAACAGGAAGGAAAUGGUGUGAAGUUAGAGUGACCUUUGUGGUAGGGAAGUGGCCGGGUGAAGUCGUGGAGCUAAGGUUGCUGAAGGACUUAUUUUGAGAGGUGAGGGUGAUCCUGGGACACCUGUGAAGCCUUAGGACCUUCCUCAGCUCUAUAAAAGACAGACUGGAGAAGUCCCCAAAGGAAGCUGUCACAGGGGGAGUAAACAGAAAAGGGCAUACCAUUGUUGCUGGGAUUUGAUUGCUUUGCAACUUAAUUAUGCAGUGUUGAAUUCUAGGAUGCUUCAAUACAUCUUUCAGUGUUUGUCCCUCAAUUACAAUUUCCAUAGUAUCAUAAUUGUUAAUUUCUGGACUUUUUUCAUCUUGGCACAGUGCUUAGCAUACAGAUUUUCAAUGAUUGUUCUAGAUGGGAACCCUGGGCAUUGGGAGAACUGUGGGGAUUCUCUUCAUCAAUUUCUCUUCACUCCUUCUUUACACAUUUUCUCUACUUAGUCCACUCCCUUGGCAGUAGCACCCAAGAUUUUUUUUUUUAAAGAUUAAUUGAUUAAAUAAAGAAGUGUUAUUUAAAGAUUUACUUGAAAGGCAGAAUGACAGCAAGAGAGAGGAGAGGGACAGAUGGGAGAGAAACAGAGAGAUAGAGAUUUUCCAUCUAUUGGUCCAUUUCCCAAAUGGCUGCAGUGGCUGGGGCUAGGCCAGACUGAAGCUCAAAACCUGGAGCUCUGUCAAGGUCUCCCACAUGGGUGGCAGGAGACCAAGCACUUGGGUCCUCUUCUGCUGCUUUCCAAGACACAUUAGCAGGGAGCUAAUUAGAAGUGCAGCUGCAUUUAAAGUGGAGCAGCUGGGACUGAAACCUGCACUCUGAUAGGGGAUGCUGGCAUUGGAAGCAGCAACUUAACCUGCUGCGCCAAAUGCUGGCCCCAACAUCCAAGUUUUAUAAUAUGUAGUUCUUACUGCUAGAGAAGAACAGUUCUUAGCAUAACUUAGGGACAGAUUCUGAUUGCUUUUGGUGAUUUCUGGAAUGGGUGAGGCAGGGAGGAGUACUUUGUAGAAGAGCACAAGAAGAGCUGGGUUGCCUAAGUAAUUGAAACCCAAUCUGCACAUUCAGAUUCCAAGGAGAUUUAUUAUUUUCAGAAGGCCUGGGCUUCCCUCUGCUUUGGAAGAUUAUUAAUAGGGUGACCAGAUGUCCUCGUUUGUCUGGAAAGUCCCCUUUUACACCUGUUGUCCUUGUACGAUUAUUAAUAGCACCCUUUUCACUUUCAAAAGUGCCCUGCCUUGGAAGAUAAAUUAUAUGAUCAUUGUAUUUAAUGGUGUUGUGUCUCUGAACUGGCUAAAGUCCUGGAGACAGGGCUGUAUAAUGUGGUGAAAAUGACACAAUGUGACCUCCAUGAGGGUUGGUUUUUUCUCCUGGGGCACCUGGGUACCCAGCAUGUAAUAGAAACUCAGUGAAUGUUGAAUCAAGGACUGAAUGUAUAAAGGGCUUUUCUGUCUCUAAGUGUCCUAUAAAGUUAUAUUGGGCACAUUUUCCCGCUUUUGAAUAAUAAUGUAGUGUAUAGUAGACUGAUAGUAGCACCGAAUGUCAGGGCUAACCAGAAAUGUUCAAGACUCUUUUGCCCAAUACCCUUCCGAACAGAGGGUAAACCUGUGAGUCUGUCUCAUUCAGUGAAUGCCAGUAGCCAAGGAGAGGCAAGUAGUAGGCAUUCAGUAAGCAUCCGAGUCCCUGUUUUCAGUGCUUGCUUUUCUUCAACUACACUUCUGUCAUGAGGACACUGACAGUACUUGGACACUGCAAACACGGGGGGCGCCCUCUGUUUGAUGAUGUUGCCUUCCACCUUGGCACUGGAGAGCCCUUCCUCACAGUGGACAUCUGACUCCCUGCUGGUUUCAUCUGUGCCUUUGGUUCUGUGCUCUGCAGCCCAACUCUUCUUCCCCAGCACAAGCAUUCGUCUUCUACAACCACAGUUUCCUUUUCACCUCCGAUAAGAUUGCCAGAUCCUCUGCUGUCCUGAUCACUUCUGGAAGCGUUCAGUUUGUUGAAAGACCCAUAAUGUAGAGUUCAGAGAUGGGUUUUGGCAGUGAUAAAGAAAAGUGGGGGACGGCAUUUGGCUUAGCAGUUAAGACACCUAUAAGAUGCCUGCUUCUGACUUUGGAGUGCCUGGGUUUGAUUACCAGCUCCAGCUCCUGCUAAUGUGUACCCUGGGAGGUGGAGGUGAUGGCUCAAGUGAUUGAGUCCCUGCCACCCACAUUGGAGAGAGGGAUUGUAUUCUGGUUUCUGGCUCCUUUGGGCAUUUGGGGACUAAGCCAGCAGAUGGGGGCUUAUUCUCUCUCUCUCUCUCUCAAAUAAAUAAAUAAAAUUAAAAAAAAUUUUUUUUAAAAAGAGCGACAAUCUCACGUACAAUCUUCCAGAAAAUUGUGUUUCUGGUAAUGCUAAACUAAGAUUGCUCAGACUUUUUAAAGCCAUGUCAUACUACUGACUCAUAUGUAGUUCCUCAUUAAUUAUUUCUAAUUAGGUGCAGGCUAAGUGUGUAAAGUCUGCAUAACAAGAGAAACAUAUUUCUGCUAAGCCAGGUCUCCUCUAUCUAUCUCUGCUUACACAAUGGGUUGAUUGAAUUGUGUUAGUCUGUAUUUAUCUCUGUUGCAUAUUACUGUGUUAGAGACAACAUUCCUUACAGGACUUAAAUGUUUUACAUCCUAACUUUAACAUCCAGCCUCUUCUUUGACUGUUCCCUCUUGUUAUUCUCAUAGUCGGGGGUAUAGAACACUUGAAAGGAAGUGGCAGUCACUAGAUAUGAACCAAGGUUCCUUAGAGAACAGUUUUGCAAAUCUGGUAGCCUGGUAGGUCACGGAAAGUUACAGGGAUGCACAUCCCAUCAAAAAGAAAGUUUGACAAAAAUUAAGGCUGUUCCACCAUGAAUGAGUUCCAUUCUAAGAUAUUUCCUGAUCCCUCGUAAAUGUAGACAGACAGGAUAACCAUCUGUCGGGAUAUUUGACUGGGAAUUCCUGUGCUGGGUGGGACUGUAGACUAGCUUAUCUCUGGAAAUAUUUCCAGCUCACAGAUUCUUUGUAUGGUACACAUUUACUAUUUAUAGCCUGCAUUGGAUUUCUUUUUAAUCCCAUAGCUGAAAGGACAUUACGUUUUCCUUCAUUAAGGAUAGAACAGCUUAAAAAAAUGAAAUAGUUACAAUAAAAUUACCUAUUCUAUGAUAUCUGGGGGAUCUAAUUUUGGAAAGUUUAAAUUACCCCAAUGUUUCAUUUAAACUGGAGAGUAGGUUUUAUAUUAAGAGAAAGUAAAGGUUGAAUGGUUAUUUAUUUUUGAAGACAAAAAUUACAAUUAAUGAUAGAACACACAAACUAUUUUACUUCUUAUAGGAUUUAUUCAUCUAUUUCUAUUUCCAUCCAAAAGUUCACCGAUUCAUCCAUCUUAGUAUACUUCCCAAAUAGCUUAGAUAGUUAUCACCCCAAACCAAAAUGGCAUCCCACAGGCUAAGAAAUUGCUUUAAGGCCAGAAGGAAAGGGGAAACUACAGUACCAAGGCUUGCAAAGGAAAGUAUGACAUUUUACGCUGUUAUUUAUUCUGUGCACCAAUGCAGAAUUCAGAACUUUUCCAGAUGAAGAUAUGUUUGAUUAAAUAUAACUUCUGAAUCCCUUGGUGGACUGUUAGGGUGUUCCAGCUGUCUCUGAGACACAGUAGCAGAUUCCUAUAUCAUCACUUAGAGAAAGGCAUUCAAGAAAUUUCAGACAGGUGAUAAAUGAAGCAAGAGUAAUAUUUGAAUUGAGGGAAAGCAUAAAUAGUUCUUUGCAAACAUUAUCGCUGGGGGCAAUGUAGAAAAAACAUUUAGAGAUUUACAUAUAUAUCUAAAUAUAUUUUUAAAUGAAGUAUGUAGCGUUCCUGUGUAGAGACUGCUAAUUAGAUAAACUUGAAAGAUGAUGGCGCACAGUUUAAUUUGGAUUAAAUAACCCCUCUAGCUGUAAGUUUGUUUUUUAAUUGUGGAAUCCCACUUGACCCAACUAAUUGUAAGCUUCUCUAAUCCAGCUCUGAAUUCUAAUUUGUGCUGCUUCCACUUUCCCCAAUGCAGACUUGCUCGUUUGCUUCAUCUUGACAUUGAGAACUGGCCCCUUGGACCACUUCCGCUCUGCAGGCGCUUGUCAUGACAGACACAAAGGCCACUUCGCUGGGCAGUACACAGAAUAAGAAUCUCAGCAGAGCUCUAGGGCAAAACGUUUUAUACACACCACGGUGGCUGAAGAUUUAAAACCAUUCCGUUGGUCUUAGGAAAUGUUUUCUUUUCACAGAAGAUCACAAAAAUUCAAGGGUGUAUCACAGAAUAAUCUGGACAUUUUUCUCCUUCUGUUGACAUUUUACUCACUGAGACCACAGCUAAACAGUAGCCUGAUACCCUCAAAAGAGGAAUUUCUUUUCCUGUCCAGCAGCCAACAUGACAGUAGCUGGUGGAGCAGUAUUUCUUAGUGAUAGUCUGUAUUUGAUUUGCUUAUGAGGUUUGCAGGUUCUGGUUGGAAUUAAGGGACAAUGGAUUGAAGACAUUUAAUACAUUAGCAGCCAUGAAAACCAGUAACCAUGAGUGAUUGUUUCUCUUCUGUGUCCUAACACUCAAGAGUAUAUCAGUGUGUCAUUACUGGAACUGUGGGAUGUUCUGCCAUACAAUGGCAUCUUCAACUAUAGGCACUCCUUCUGUCUCUGGGGUUCAUUUUUAGCACAAAAUAAAGGUGUUUAGCAGUGUUUCUGUGGGGCUUGGUUGCAGUAUUUUGUAAAUUGAUUUUUAAUCCCAAACACACUUUGGCUGAAUCAGGGAGGUGAGGGACUUGAUAAUUCACUGGAGAAAGGCUAAAUGGAGUGCCAAGAUUGAGUGUGAGUGUAUACGCAGUCUUUGCUCUGGGAAGUAGCAACAGGGAUGACUUAACUUUGGCAGUGUCUUCAGUUUAGAGUGUGACUAAUUUAGAAGUGAUAGGCUGCAGGGUUUCAAUCAUUUUUGGUUUCUUAAUGGAAGCCUUUCUUGUACACAAAGGACUACAGUUUGUAGCUAUAAGCAUUGAAAGGGCAUGCACCAUGACUGUGUAAUUUAUUAUAAAGUAUAAGGCCUUUAUACCUAGUUUAGAAUCAGCGAACUAGUGAAAAAGACAAUUUUGGUCUUUUAAUUGUUCUUCUUUAGCUAAAAUUUCUGGAGAGUUCUUCAAUGGGACAUUUGCUUUUCUGCAGAUGCUAAUUUGUCCUUGCACUGACUGAAAGGCAACCUGAUGUAGCCCCCACAUGCGUGUACAAGACCUAUCUGCUUUUGUGAGAUUCAGCUACUCAUGCUGUCCCAAAUGGAGUCUCAAUCUACCCCUGCUAUUCCUGUCCCUUCUUCCUUGAUCCUUCCUUCCCCAGUACCCUUUGGCCAUGCCCCAAGCCCAGGAGUAGGAGUUCCCAGAGCAGUUGUUUGCACUUCCAGUGUAGCAUACACAACAUCACAGCAGGACUCCACUGGAUUUGGGUCUUGCAGUUUACCAGCAAGUAUUUCUGGGCACUCAUCUCCAAAAUAUAUGUCAUUAUUUUUAAACUGUGUAAACAUGCUACCAAAGUAGUAUAUUGUAUACAUAGAAAAACAUAGACAAAUUAGAAAUGAUAAAAUUAAAUGUCCCAUUAGAAAACCUGCUAUUUUCUUCUGUGCCCCCAACAGAUCAUAUUGCACACCUCUUGGGGGAUUUGUAUCCCACUUUGGAGAUCACUGUUUUCAAUGAGGAUAUUUCACAAGUUCGUGGAGGGGUGGACAUUUGGCGUAGUGGUUAAUAUGCCACUUGGGAUGCCCACAUCUCAUUUUGGAGUGCCUGAAUUCGAGUGCUGGCUCGGCUCCUGUUUCAGUUACCUGCUAAUGCACAGUAUGGGAGGCAAUGCUGAUGGCUCCAGUAGCUGACUCUCUGCCAUCCACGUGGGAGACCUGGAUUGAGUUCCCGGCUCCCAGCCUUGGCCUGGCCUAGCCCUAACCGUUGCUAGAAUUUGUGGAGUAAAUCAAUGCAUGGGA